rnacentral:lncRNA from 1 species
GUAUGGUCAGGCGGGAUCAUCUGCCAGCUGGAGGUCUCAGGACUGUGGAAAACCAUGUAUUCUAGCAGUAUAUUCUCUGGCCCAGCCGACCAUUACUAUCUUCAUAACGCUUAUGAAACUGUGCCUUCUCUAAGGCCAUUCACAGCUCUCGACUGGGCUAUCCUUCUUUGCCCUCUGUGCAUAAUUUCAUGCUUAUUUGAUCUCCCCAACCUCUGCACUGACCUGGCUUCUUGUGUUAUAUCCUAAACAACUUGUUCUUGGUUUCAUCCACUCAGUUCUCUGGAUCAGCCAGCUUCACACAGAAGUGACAGCACUUCUGAAAUCCCCUCUUAGUCACUUUUGUAACUUCAACCUCUGCUAAAGGUAGACACUCACUCUAUAGACCAGGCCUUGAGCUCAAAGAUCCACCUGCCUCUGCCCCCUGGCCCCCUCCACCUCCCCACGAGUGCUGGGACUAAAGGUGUGAACCACCACCACCACCACCACCACCACCCAGCUCCCUUGUUUUCUUAACAUUGAUCUAUUUAUAACUAGAGUGAGCAAAGCAGUGGUGGUGCACAACUUUAAUCCCACCACUCAGGAGGCAGAGGCAGGUGGAGCUCUGUGAUUUCGAGGCCAGCCUGGUCUACAAUAUGAGUUCCAGGACAGCCAGGGAUACACAGAGAAACCCUGCCUCAAAAAGAAAAUCAAAUAAACCCCCACAGAGUUACACCUUAUCCACUGCCCAAUGUCCUGCCAUUGGUUCCCAGACCAGAGCCUAGAGCCUGAAAUGGUCAUAUGCUCAGGCCCCAUUGCAAAGGACAGUGGGAAGGCACCUGCUUGUCUAACCUCUGGGGUGGCAAAGCUCGGGAGGGACUCCUCCUUAGGCAGCAGAGAUGCUCACUGGUGUGGGCUGUGCACACUCUGGUUUUCUUUCCUCUAAACUUGUGGGCCCCCAGGUUCAAGCUUUUAAUUUUCAGGUUUGCAUAUCUAUAAGUGCCUCCGUGUAUCUAUGUGGACCACAUGUAUGCCUGGUGCCUGUGGAAAUGAGAAGAAAGCAUUGAAUCCCCUCAAAAAGUGUUCUUAACCCCUUAGCCAUCUCUCCAGCCCCAGGUUCAAAUCCUGAGCACCGUCUGAACUAGUCCUGUGUCCAAGACAGUAUCAUCAAACCCUGCCCUUCCCGCCUUGUGCCAGCUCGCGCUUUUUCUUACAUCUGUAUGUUGAUGCUUAGCAGGUUCCUUGAAUGCUUGGUUUAUGUGCCUGGCUGGAGGAGACACCCAUGGCCUUGCAGAGGGAGCGUUCUGGUGGGAAAGCAGACACAACCCACCCUAGGCCCGUGGUUUCCCUGCAAGAAGCCCAGUGGCUUUCUGGAGGACACUUUUCCUGGAGGAAGUGACUCAAGGUAUUCAGGGGGUUGGGUAGGGGAAAUAUCAAGGAAGUAAGAAAGAACAUGGUAUAUGUGGGGACUUGCCUGACCCUCCAAAGAAGUGGAGCCUUAGAUGCUGAAGCAGAGAAACUGGCUUAAUGGCCUGGGGUUUAAGGAAGUCAGCCAUGAGUUAGCUCAGAGAUGCUAGGACGUGGCACCCGGCUGGGUGGUGCUUCGUAAUGUGUAGGAGGCUCACGUGUAUGCAACCUACUGGCUUCUCACAUUAGAAGCAAAAAGGUUUGAAGAAGUUAAGUACUGCAAGGCCAAUUGGUACUAGAAUGGAGACAGAGAGGAAGUUCUACUUAGAAACUUUCUAGAAGAAGAAAGGGGAUAAUGAGAGCAAGGAGAGAGAUCCAGGGCUUAGUCUGAGGGGAUUCUGUGAGAGCAACUGAGGUAGGGAGAAGAGCCGUGUGCGUGCUGGUCCCGAGGCUGCAAUGUAAGCAACAUGCCAAGCUUUACACAAAGGCUUCUCUGUAAGAGGCCUUGGCAGUGGCUGUCAGGUGAGGGGACUUAGCUCUCAGGGCCUUCAGGGCAUUGGGGGUAGGGCUGGAGGUGGCCUCAGACUUCCAGCAGGUCCACAUCAAAAGAAAGACUCUAAGCCUGGCUAGAACUCCCACAGAGGCUAUAUAGAGCUGGUUCCAGGCCAGGCUCCUGCCCACUGCCCAGUCAGGCCGCCAGGUCUAGGCUCAGCCUCUGCCCACCUCCUAUUCUUCCAGCUGUGCCCCCUGCACCUUCUAGCAUCUCCUUUUUCAGCCCACACAUGCCCUCCCAGGUUAUGGGUCUGGUCUCACUGGGCCCGAGCAAGUACCACAGGGAACCUCUUACACUGAGGACUGUAUUGGGAAGGAGAGAAACCACUGACCAGAAGCAAAAAGGUGUCUCGGGAGGAAGGGGGUCACUGUUUCAAGCACUCUGCUCUCCAUCUUCUUCAGCACAAGUUCUUGGUGGCCUCAAUUCACGGUCUCUUCCUGUUGAUCAGCAGUGGGCAGAGACCACCUCCCUCAUUGCCGCUUUGGGUUUGGACCGCUUUAAACAGUAAAGUGACUGUCGACGGCUCAGUCUACAGGGAGGAGAACAAAAGACAGGGUCAGGGCUGGGCAGACUGGACAGGAGCAGCAUAAGCCAGGCUCUAUGGAAUGUUGGGUGAGCUGCUUGAGGAACUCCAAGGCCUGUCCCACAGUCUUCCAGCCUCCGACUCUCCGGCCCUCAGCGAGGAAGUCCCACUGGUUUUUUUGGUUGGUUUUUUUUUUUUUUUUUAAGGUUUUUUGGUUUUUUUUUUUUUUUCUCAUUCCUGUCUUGGGAGCUUUCCCCAACCAGGAGAGUGAAGAUGGGCGGAGCUGUCACACCAACUGUUAGCCUGCCUUGGCUGAGAGGAGAGGAGGCGAGGAGGGAGCGACCACCCAGCUUUAGUCGUUUUAAAACAGCUCCUGACCCUAGAAGAAGGGAAAUGGAGAUGAAGACCCAAUUGACUUGAGAGAGUGAUCUUUCAGCAGACUGAUCGAACACACAGGCUUCUCAGCCCACUCCCUCCAGUCAAGGUUAAGGCCUGGCAAAGGUGGAGGAAGAGAAGCUGAGGAGAAAAAGGCGAGGAGAGCCUAGGCACAGGAAGGUGACCGCUUCCCUCCCUCCCAGUGCUGAUUUCCUGUGGACCAGAUUCCAGCACAGUGGAGGGCCAGAGCUCAGGGAACAGACCCAGCAGCACAGCAAGUCUCCAAGGAAAGCUCUAGCAGUCUCCAGGGGCUGAAGGCAGGACUGGGGAAGCGGCUAGCCAGGCUGCAGAAGGCAAAUGCUCCCAGACGGCUGUCCAGCACGCAUCCGCCUUCCUAGCCAAGUUUCCUGGGCUCCUGCCACAGAUCUAAGCCUCAUCCUGACAUCCUGCCCUCUGUGCUCUGGGAUGGCCCAGGGGAGAUGCUUAGCCUUGGCUCCUUGUCUGCUGGUGGAGGGGACACACACCCUUUCUGGACCACAGACCAAAAAGAAGACCUGACGUCAUCCUGAGCACCCCCGCCAUGCAGAGUGUGUUCGCAGACUGCCAACGGGCUGGCUCCGGCCAGCAGAAGUGAACAGAGGUGGAGGUUCAGCCUGACAGCUUCUCCCCAAAGCCAUGGAGAGAAAACCUUACCACCCCCACCGCCCAGCUACUUCCAGCAAGUUGUCCAGCCUGACCCCUCUAUUUCCCCUGUUGUCUCUUAUCUGGGUCCCUGAGACCCACCCCAUCUCCAAUAAAGAACAUUGCAUACUGUGCAUCCACUACUGAACAACAUAGUCACACCAGGCAGGGCUCCCUAAAGCCUACCUGCAUGGCCAGCGUGGUCCGAGGACAGUGUGCUCUCCCCACCCUGUCUGCUAGCCUCCAGCUUCAUGGGAACUCCAUUAAUCAUGGGAUUCCGAGAUCAUCAGAGCAAUAGGAUCACUCCGUCUCCAGGGGAGCACAAGGCAAGAGCCAGAGCGGGACUGUUCUUCAGUCAAGGGGCAGGGGUUGCUGCCUCU